UCGGCUGGAGCUCGGUUAGGAUGUCUGAUGGAGCAGAAUGGCUCUAUAUCCCGUCGAUCUAGGAGAAGCUCGAAUAUUUCUGAGAUUGCUGAUGAGUCUACUGUUGUCGGAUGCCUCAGGCGCUGAUGCUAUAGGCGGGAGUCAUCUGCUGUAGAAGCUCGGAUGGAGACUUUCUUUUGGUGAAGUCCGAUAGGAGUCCGAUUGCUAGGGAAGUCUGUCUAGAAUUUGCCUGAUGUGGAAGCUCGUCUGAAGAUUAUCCAUCGGAGAAGUCUAAUUUCAUGAAGAAUCUGAUGGAGGGUCGAUUGGUGGUGGACCUUGGAUGGCGUUGGGGAGGUUCGGCAGACACCGAAGGCGAUCGAUCGUUGUAAAAAUCCAGCUGCUGGAGCCCGUCUGUUGUAGAAGCUCAUCCGAUAUCCAUCUGCUAUAGAAGUUCGAAUGGAGUCUGAUUUUUGUAGAAGGCUGAAAGGAGACUGCUUAUUGUAGAAGCUCGAUCGAAGAUCGGUUGUCGUGAGAGCUCGAAGUAACGAUCCGGCCGGUGGAUCCUAUCCCGUCGUAGAAGCUCGUUUGGGAUCCGUCCACUGUAGGAGCUUGGCUGAAGUCUGCCUAUAAUGGGAGUUCAAAAAAAAUUUGUUUACAGUAGAGGCUCGAAUGAAAUUUGCUUACAGUAGAUAUCCAGAGUGGACCGC
rnacentral:lncRNA from 1 species